rnacentral:lncRNA from 15 species
AUGUCAGCUUUAGACCAGAAUGCAGAAGUCACUUUACCUUUACUAGAGGGAGCUGCUGAGCCAACAGAGGAAGUCUUUAGCCCGUCUCCUCAUGCCAAUAAAGAAGAAACCCCAUACAUCACCCUGUUGGCUAGUUGGGCGAGUCAAGAGGAAGUUGACACUGACUCAUCUAAUGAGGAGGAAGAAACAGGAGUUAGCCCCGCCCCCUCUGGUGCCAAUGGACCAAUGGAAGGAGAUCCUGCUUCUAACACCAUCAAUUUCCCGUCGACCCCUUCAGGCCGUCUAAUCCCCACUCGACCGGCUCCGCCCCCUCCUCGUCCUCCUGGUCAAUCAGCAAAGCCUCUGAAACAGAAGACGCCGAGGUACUCAUUCAUACCGUUUCAGAGUCCAGAUUUAAACACACCUGUCUCCUGUCUUACAGUUUCUGUCCAACAGGGACAGGAAGUAUUUUAGAGUUUCCUGAUAAUAAAAGUAUUUGAUGACUCUUCCUGCACUCAGGCGUAUUCUAAUGCUGCGUCCAAUCAAUUUCUUUCUGUCUUCUGACGCCGCCGGAGUGUUUCUGAGGGCCAUUACAGACAAUCUAUGGCCUCACUGAGUACAAAGACCUACUGUAUAGCUACAUUAGCUAGUUAGUAUACCUAGCUCAACUUUAUAACUUUUUUUGGUGAAACUCACUCCAGAGUUUAAACCUACAAUAUGUUAUCUCUGUCAUUUACACACGUUGUACUUUAAAGAACUCCUGCUAGGGAACUGAUCAUGGUUGACUUCAGAUUUGGUCAGUGCAAUCUAAAGUGAAAAGUUACCAAGAACUGUGCUGUGGAAUCCAAAAUUGACAUCGCCAUGAAGUUGUUGGAAUUUCACUUUAAAUUGUCCAAUCUGCACCAAACGUCAUAUUUAAUAAGAGUCCUGUUAAUCAUCAUCAUUGUGAAUAUUGUGUUUGUUGCUUCCUUCUUCUUCUACUUCUGUGAGAUUUUACAGCAGAUAAACCUACAAUUGGUAAUUCCUGCCACUAGGGGUCUCUCACAAUAAAACAAUAAGAAUGGGUCAUUAUCAAAAAGUGGGAUCAUGGGAGUUGUUGUCUUCACCACCAUUGGCGUCAUUGCAGUCAGCUUCUCCCGGUUAGGAUUCCUUCAGUGUUCAUGGUUCAGGAGGUUUCUACCAGGAGCCCAAUGAUCCACAGAGGUCUCCUCCUCUCCAACACAAACAGACCCGCUGAUUAAAACCACUAAACACACUGAAUAAAGCAGUUCCACCUUAACAAUCACUGCUUCUCCCACACUGUUGGACAGACAAAGGACGUCCCGGAGGGGCUUGUUUCUCUGAUAAUUUAAGAUCCAGACGUCCAAUGACUAAAAUCCUUCAUCCGGUUCAAAUCUAGAGUUCAAAAGCACCAAGAUCUAAACAGUGGAUGGUAAAGAGUCAAUGUAUGACAGCUUCUGAUUAUUGAUUAUUGAUUGAAUCAGCUACAUAAAGAACAUAGCUCUAGAGUUUGUAAACUGUUUAAUGAUUAUAGAUUAUUGAUUGAAUCAACUCCAUAUAGAACAUAGCUCUAGAGUUUAUACACUGAUUAUAGAUUAUUGAUUUAACUAGAGAAAGAGCUUCAGUCUAAAGUGUGCUCGUCCUGCAGGGCUGCCACUAUUCGAGUGUCCAGGAAGAAGGGGGGCAGUGGGAGUUCCUCUCCACAGAGCGCCGUGGUCCGAUCCAGCUGGCUGGACGUCUGGAAGGGCUUCAGGUAACAUCACCAUCAUCUUCUUCAUCAUCAUCAUCAUUACUGUUUCUCAGAAAUGCUGCUGUGGAUUCAGUCACCAAUAACAGUCCUCAGACUGUUACUGGUAGCUGGAGUUUGAUCCGUAAACACUGACAGUCUGUUAGUUAAUGAAUAAUAAAACAACAGGAUCCAGGACAGAUCCCGGAGGAACACCAGACCAAUUUUAGAUGGAUGGUUGAAUAAAUGGAUGAAUGAUGAAAGGAUGAUGGAAGGAGGAUAAUCGAGACACAGAUAAACAU